rnacentral:pre_miRNA from 1 species
CUAGUACUCCCUCCGUCCAAAAAAUUUUGUCUUAGAUUUCUCUAAACAUGAAUGUAUCAAGUCAUGUUUUAGUAUUAGAUACAUCCGUAUCUAGAUAAAUCUUAGACAAGAAUUUUGGAACGGAGGGUAGUACUAG